rnacentral:rRNA from 1 species
GUAACGGCGAGUGAAGCGGCAACAGCUCAAAUUUGAAAUCUGGCCUCGGCCCGAGUUGUAAUUUGCAGAGGAUGCUUCUGGCGCGGUGCCUUCCGAGUUCCCUGGAACGGGACGCCACAGAGGGUGAGAGCCCCGUAUGGUCGGACACCAAGCCUGUGUGAAGCUCCUUCGACGAGUCGAGUAGUUUGGGAAUGCUGCUCUAAAUGGGAGGUAAAUCUCUUCUAAAGCUAAAUACCGGCCAGAGACCGAUAGCGCACAAGUAGAGUGAUCGAAAGAUGAAAAGCACCUUGAAAAGGGGGUUAAAUAGUACGUGAAAUUGUUGAAAGGGAAGCACUUAUGACCAGACCUGGGCCGGGCGGCUCAUCAGGGGUUCUCCCCUGUGCACUCCGCCCGGCACAGGCCAGCAUCGGUUCUCGUGGGGGGAUAAGACCGUCAGGAACGUAGCACCCUCCGGGGUGUGUUAUAGCCUGGCGGACGAUACCCCCGUGGGGACCGAGGUCCGCGCUCCGCAAGGAUGCUGGCGUAAUGGUCAUCAGUGACCCGUCUUGAAACACGGACCAAGGAGUCGUCCAUUAGAGCGAGCGUUUGGGUGUAAAACCCGCACGCGUAAUGAAAGUGAACGCAGGUGAGAGCUUCGGCGCAUCAUCGACCGAUCCUGAUGUUCUCGGAAGGAUUUGAGUAAGAGUUUUAACGGACGGACCCGAAAGACAGUGAACUAUGCUUGUAUAGGGUGAAGCCAGAGGAAACUCUGGUGGAGGCUCGCAGCGGUUCUGACGUGCAAAUCGAUCGUCAAAUAUGAGCAUGGGGGCGAAAGACUAAUCGAAC